rnacentral:rRNA from 1 species
UGGGGAAUUUUGCACAAUGGGGGAAACCCUGAUGCAGCGACGCCGCGUGAUUUAGAAGGCCUUCGGGUUGUAAAAAUCUUUUCUAUGGGAAGAAAAUGACAGUACCAUAGGAAUAAGGACCGGCUAAUUACGUGCCAGCAGCCGCGGUAAUACGUAAGGUCCGAGCGUUGUACGGAAUCAUUGGGCGUAAAGGGUACGUAGGCGGGUAAGCAAGUUAGAAGUGAAAUCCUAUAGCUCAACUAUAGUAAGCUUUUAAAACUGCUCAUCUUGAGGUAUGGAAGGGAAAGUGGAAUUCCUAGUGUAGCGGUGAAAUGCGCAGAUAUUAGGAGGAAUACCGGUGGCGAAGGCGGCUUUCUGGCCAUAACCUGACGCUGAGGUACGAAAGCGUGGGUAGCAAACAGG